ACGGGGGGAGCAAGCGUUGUUCGGAUUUACUGGGCGUAAAGGGCGCGUAGGCGGCGUGACAAGUCACUUGUGAAAUCUCCGGGCUCAACUCGGAGCGGUCAGGGGAAACUGCCGUGCUUGAGUGUGGGAGAGGUGCGUGGAAUUCCCGGUGUAGCGGUGAAAUGCGUAGAUAUCGGGAGGAAUACCGAUGGCGAAGGCAGGUCUCUGGGCUGACGCUGACGCUCAUGCACGAAAGCGUGGGGAGCAAACAGGA
rnacentral:rRNA from 1 species